CGUGUCGUGAGAUGUUGGGUUAAGUCCGCAACGAGCGCAACCCUCGACCUUAGUUGCCAGCAUUCAGUUGGGCACUCUAAGGUGACUGCCGGCUAAAAAGUCGGAGGAAGGUGGGGAUGACGUCAAAUCAUCAUGCCCCUUAUGACCUGGGCUACACACGUGCUACAAUGGGCGGUACAAAGGGUCGCGAACCCGCGAGGGGGAGCCAAUCCCAAAAAAGCCGCUCUCAGUUCGGAUUGCAGGCUGCAACUCGCCUGCAUGAAGCCGGAAUCGCUAGUAAUCGCGGAUCAGCAUGCCGCGGUGAAUACGUUCCCGGGCCUU
rnacentral:rRNA from 1 species